UACGUAGGGUGCGAGCGUUGUCCGGAAUUACUGGGCGUAAAGAGCUCGUAGGCGGCUUGUCGCGUUGUUCGUGAAAAUUUACCGCUCAACGGUGAACUUGCGGGCGAUACGGGCAGGCUAGAGUACUGCAGGGGAGACUGGAAUUCCUGGUGUAGCGGUGAAAUGCGCAGAUAUCAGGAGGAACACCGGUGGCGAAGGCGGGUCUCUGGACAGUUCCUGACGCUGAGGCACGAAGGCCAGGGGAGCAAACGGG
rnacentral:rRNA from 1 species